rnacentral:rRNA from 1 species
CCUGUUUAUCAAAAACAUCGCCUCUUGCAUAAAAAUAAGAGGUCUAGCCUGCCCAGUGACCAUAGUUCAACGGGCCGCGGGUAUCCUAACCGUGCGAAGGUAGCGUAAUCACUUGUUCUUUAAAUGAGGACUAGUAUGAAUGGCAUCACGAGGGUUAUACUGUCUCCUUUUUCUAAUCAGUAAAACUAUUCUCCCCGUGAAGAAACGGGGAUAAACAUAUAAGACGAGAAGACCCUAUGGAGCUUUAAAUUUUAUUUCAACUGCUCUUCCGUCUAAUCUGUUCUGACUUAUUACCCCUAACCGAGCAUAAUGUAAAUAAAUUUUAGGUUGGGGUGACCGCGGAGCACAAUAAAACCUCCACAUAGAACAGGCCUAAGCCUUGAACAAAGAACCACAAUUCCAAGCACUAAUAUAUUAACAUCCAUUGACCCAAUAUUUUUGAUCAACGAACCAAGUUACCCUAGGGAUAACAGCGCAAUCUACUUUGAGAGCUCCUAUCGACAAGUAGGUUUACGACCUCGAUGUUGGAUCAGGGUAUCCCAGUGGUGCAGCCGCUACUAAAGGUUCGUUUGUUCAACGAUUAAAACCCUACGUGAUCUGAGUUCAGACCGG